AAGGUUUCCGUAGCUCAAGUACGGGACAGCUCGACCGCCAGGUCGGGGUGAUCCUUCCGCGUAACACUUGCCGAAGCCUUAGCAGCCCGAAAGGGUGCAGCCCCAACGACUGUAAACAACGAGGGUUGCUUAAAUGCUAGUCUGCGCAUAGCAGGCGACACUAUCAAAUUGCGGGGACACCCUAAAGACCUCAACACCAAGCGAUCGCGGGAAACCGCGGCGUGGCCGAGCUAAUAGCCCUGGGUAUGGUAACAGCUUGAGGUAUGACACCCCUUCGGGGGUCGAAAUGGGCAAUCCGCAGCCAAGUCCUAAAGCGCUCUCGCGUCAUGGAUGCUGUUCACAGGCCAAAUGGUAGUGGGUGAACUCCAAUGGAGUUUGCUUAAGAUAUGGUCGGGCCCUCUCAGAAAUGUCAGGGGUAAGUUCGCGCAGCCGAUGGCCACAUCGGCUUCCAACAAGAAACAACCGUUCCGUAGGUGAACCUGCGGAAGGAUCAUUAUCCAUUACACCAGGUGUGGUUGCGGCCCCCGGGCGUGUGGGCGUCUUAUGGCGCCCGCUCUCCUGGGCGGUAGAGGUAAAACUCUCACGCGCCACAUGUCUGAAUCCUUUUUUUACGAGCACCUUUCGUUCUCCUUCGGUGGGGCAACCUGCCGUUGGAACCUAUCAAAACUCUUUCUUGCAUCUAGCAUUACCUGUUCUGAUACAAACAAUCGUUACAACUUUCAACAAUGGAUCUCUUGGCUCUGGCAUCGAUGAAGAACGCAGCGAAAUGCGAUAAGUAGUGUGAAUUGCAGAAUUCAGUGAAUCAUCGAAUCUUUGAACGCACAUUGCGCCCCUUGGUAUUCCAUGGGGCAUGCCUGUUCGAGCGUCAUCUACACCCUCAAGCUCUGCUUGGUGUUGGGCGUCUGUCCCGCCUCUGCGCGCGGACUCGCCCCAAAUUCAUUGGCAGCGGUCCUUGCCUCCUCUAGCGCAGCACAUAUUGCCUAGAGGGGUGCGGCCCGCGUCCAGAAGCAACAUUACCGUCUUUGACCUCGGAUCAGGUAGGGAUACCCGCUGAACUUAA
rnacentral:rRNA from 1 species